GAUGAACGCUGGCGGCGUGCCUAAUACAUGCCAGUCGAGCGAACGGACGAGAAGCUUGCUUCUCUGAUGUUAGCGGCGGACGGGUGAGUAACACGUGGAUAACCUACCUAUAAGACUGGGAUAACUUCGGGAAACCGGAGCUAAUACCGGAUGAUAUUUUGAACCGCAUGGUUCAAAAGUGAAAGACGGUCUUGCUGUCACUUAUAGAUGGAUCCGCGCUGCAUUAGCUAGUUGGUAAGGUAACGGCUUACCAAGGCAACGAUGCAUAGCCGACCUGAGAGGGUGAUCGGCCACACUGGAACUGAGACACGGUCCAGACUCCUACGGGAGGCAGCAGUAGGGAAUCUUCCGCAAUGGGCGAAAGCCUGACGGAGCAACGCCGCAUGAGUGAUGAAGGUCUUCGGAUCGUAAAACUCUGUUAUUAGGGAAGAACAUAUGUGUAAGUAACUGUGCACAUCUUGACGGUACCUAAUCAGAAAGCCACGGCUAACUACGUG
rnacentral:rRNA from 1 species